ACAGGAAGGCACAGAGCAUGGCGAAUGAUGAAUUUCCGUCAGCGGAUGGGAUGGAUUGGUGUGGGAUUGUAUCUGUUAGCAAGUGCGGCAGCAUUUUACUAUGUUUUUGAAAUCAAUGAGACUUACAAUAGGCUGGCCUUGGAACACAUUCAACAGCACCCUGAGGAGCCCCUUGAAGGAACCACAUGGACACACUCCUUGAAAGCUUGAUUACUCUCCUUGCCUUUUUGGUUGUGGACAAUUAUUUUUCUGGUACCUUACUUACAGAUGUUUUUGUUCCUAUACUCUUGUACAAGAGCUGAUCCCAAAACAGUGGGCUACUGUAUCAUCCCUAUAUGCUUGGCAGUUAUUUGCAAUCGCCACCAGGCAUUUGUCAAGGCUUCUAAUCAGAUCAGCAGACUACAACUGAUUGACACAUAAAAUCAGUCACCGUUUUUUCCCUACGAUUACAAAACUGGCAGUCCUAUAUGGAGUCUGAUCACAAGACUGCAGUUUCUUCACAGAUCUCAGGAAGUUGUGGUGGGGCAGAGGCUUUUUAAAAACAUGUGAUCAGGGGGCUAUCUUUAUCUGAAUAAUAAUGAAUUUUUAGGUAAAACCUGAGAUAGAGUACUACAAAAUCAUGUUGAUGACUUCAGAUUUUGGAAGUUAAAUCGUGUCUGUUAUUUGCAUUCUUUAGAAACUUGACUGAGUACCUGAAUUCAUAUUUCUAUUCUACUGUGCAACAUAGUGAUGAUUCAGAAAUUUUUCCUUUGGGGAAAAAAAAUGAAUAUGAACAUUUCCAUUGUGUUAAGUGUAAAAAGGUCCAGACAUGAUCAUAAAAUUUAAAUUUUAUACAAAAAAAAAA